UACGUAGGGUGCGAGCGUUGUCCGGAAUUAUUGGGCGUAAAGAGCUUGUAGGCGGUUUGUCGCGUCUGCUGUGAAAAUCCGGGGCUCAACCCCGGACUUGCAGUGGGUACGGGCAGACUAGAGUGUGGUAGGGGAGACUGGAAUUCCUGGUGUAGCGGUGAAGUGCGCAGAUAUCAGGAGGAACACCGAUGGCGAAGGCAGGUCUCUGGGCCACUACUGACGCUGAGAAGCGAAAGCAUGGGGAGCGAACAGG
rnacentral:rRNA from 1 species